rnacentral:rRNA from 1 species
CAGCUUGUCAUGCUAGAGCACUUUUUCAAUGUGCUCCCCAACGAGAAGGCAACAACGCAUUCGUAUGUCAAUCCAUAUCAACUUUCGAUGCCAUUGACUGCGCUUACCAUGGUGACCACGGUUAACGGGGAAUCAGGGUUCCAUUCCGUACAGGGACCCUGACAAAUGGCUAUCACAUGCAAGGAAGGCAGCAGGCGCGCAUAUGACCCACUCCCGACGCGGGAACGUAGUGA